rnacentral:rRNA from 1 species
AGUGAACGCUGGCGGUAGGCCUAACACAUGCAAGUCGAACGGCAGCACAGUAAGAGCUUGCUCUUACGGGUGGCGAGUGGCGGACGGGUGAGGAAUACAUCGGAAUCUACUUUUUCGUGGGGGAUAACGUAGGGAAACUUACGCUAAUACCGCAUACGACCUACGGGUGAAAGCAGGGGAUCUUCGGACCUUUCGCGAUUGAAUGAGCCGAUGUCGGAUUAGCUAGUUGGCGGGGUAAAGGCCCACCAAGGCGACGAUCCGUAGCUGGUCUGAGAGGAUGAUCAGCCACACUGGAACUGAGACACGGUCCAGACUCCUACGGGAGGCAGCAGUGGGGAAUAUUGGACAAUGGGCGCAAGCCUGAUCCAGCCAUACCGCGUGGGUGAAGAAGGCCUUCGGGUUGUAAAGCCCUUUUGUUGGGAAAGAAAAGCAGCAGGUUAAUACCCCGCUGUUCCGACGGUACCCAAAGAAUAAGCACCGGCUAACUUCAUG